UACGGAGGGGGCUAGCGUUGUUCGGAAUUACUGGGCGUAAAGCGCACGUAGGCGGCUUUGUAAGUUAGAGGUGAAAGCCCAGGGCUCAACCCUGGAAUUGCCUUUAAGACUGCAUCGCUUGAAUCAUGGAGAGGUGAGUGGAAUUCCGAGUGUAGAGGUGAAAAUUCGUAGAUAUUCGGAAGAACACCAGUGGCGAAGGCGACUCACUGGACAUGUAUUGACGCUGAGGUGCGAAAGCGUGGGGAGCAAACAGG
rnacentral:rRNA from 1 species